CUUUCUAGAUGGAUGACACUUCCGCUAAAGGGAUGAUUCGGCAAAUGAUUAUAGAUCUGUUGAGAGUACCUUCCGUUGCAGAGGUUAUGCUACAAAUGCUGGAUAUGGGUUUUGAUGAGAGGAGGAGUGAGCCUUCCGUUGAAGUGAUGAUACGAGACGUGGAAUUAGAUAUGAUGAAUGAAAAACGGAUGCUUACGG